AGAGUUUGAUCCUGGCUCAGGAUGAACGCUGGCGGCGUGCCUAAUACAUGCAAGUCGAACGAGGUAUCUUUGUAGCAAUACGAGGGUAUCCUAGUGGCGAACGGGUGAGUAACGCGUUGGUGACCUGCCCCAAAGUCUGGGAUAACCCCGCGAAAGCGGGGCUAAUACCGGAUGUGGUCAUCGGGAUUAGAAUCCGAUGACUAAAGGAUUUAUUCGCUUUGGGAGGGGCCUGCGUCCCAUCAGCUAGUUGGUAGGGUAAUGGCCUACCAAGGCUACGACGGGUAGGGGACCUCAGAGGGUGGCCCCCCACAAUGGAACUGAAACACGGUCCAUACACCUACGGGUGGCAGCAGUAGGGAAUAUUGCACAAUGGGCGAAAGCCUGAUGCAGCAACGCCGCGUGCGCGAAGAAGGUCUUCGGAUCGUAAAGCGCUUUUCUGGGAGAUGAGAAAGGACAGUAUCCCAGGAAUAAGUCUCGGCUAACUACGUGCCAGCAGCCGCGGUAAAACGUAGGAGGCGAGCGUUAUCCGGAUUCACUGGGCGUAAAGCGCGUGCAGGCGGUUUGGUAAGUUGGGCGUGAAAGCUCCCGGCUCAACUGGGAGAGGUCGUCCAAAACUACCAGACUAGAGAGCGAUAGAGGAAAAUGGAAUUCCCGGUGUAGUGGUGAAAUGCGUAGAUAUCGGGAGGAACACCAGUGGCGAAGGCGAUUUUCUGGAUCGUUUCUGACGCUCAGACGCGAAAGCUAGGGUAGCAAACGGGAUUAGAGACCCCGGUAGUCCUAGCUGUAAACGAUGUGAACUUGGCGUUGGUGGCUUAAACACCAUCAGUGCCGUAGCUAACGCGAUAAGUUCACCGCCUGGGGACUACGGCCGCAAGGUUAAAACUCAAAGGAAUUGACGG
rnacentral:rRNA from 1 species